GCUCGAAUAGCUCAGCGGUACGAGCAUCUGACUGCAGCGAGGGUGUCCCAAGUCUUCAGAGGGUCCCUGGUUCAAAUCCGGGUUCGAGCU